GUGCUUUGAUGAUUUCAUCUAAAUCUACAGCCUGAUAAAACGAAGUGUGAUUAAUAAGAAGAUCAUCUUUCUAUUUAAGUUUGACACAGAAAGAAAAGAAAAACACUACCAGAAAGAUGAUGACACAGACAAAAAACACAUGGAAAGUGUGAAUUUCAAUCAUCAGGAAAAUCAACUUUCACCAUAAGGGAUUCCUGUUAAUAUAUUGAAGAUGAAGAUAAGCUAUUUCUUUCUAAAACAAUGAAUGAAUCAAAUCAAAGCUCGACAAAGCCUAUCCAAUGAAAUUGCUUGAAACACCAUGGAAUAACCAAUGAAAUCGUUCCAGCAAAUAAUCUCAGUUUACAUCAAUGAUUCAAUAACUUUUCGCCCUGCCAGAUGACACAAGACCUGAAAGAGAAAGGAAAUGAAGCGAUAUAUUUCCACUGGAUAAUAAACAAAUAUGAAAAGUGCGUCAGUCAAAGUUCUUUCUCAAAACCGUAAUGUUAAACAAACAAGUAAAGAAUAAUAAUGGAACAAAAUGGAGCAGAAUAAUGUCAGACAGUUAAGGUAGAAAUCUCAAAAAUAACUAUAAUUUAAUUGAUUCUGCCAAACUGUUUUUAGUGCAGUUUAGUUUAUGUUCUUAGAACAAAUAGCCAUUUUUGUUUUAUCGUUAUGCAUUACACCAAUAAACAGGUGAAAACACAAGACUGAUUACGUUUAACUUAAAUUGAUAGGAAAAGAAAAGAGCACUUUUUCAGAUUUGCUUGUGCACACAUUCAUAAAUGUUCAACAGUUCAAUAAUAUGGGUAAUAAUCAAAUUCAUGAUAGAUAAUAUCAAACCAACAUUUUUUCACAUUCCAUUGCAAGUAUAAAUGCAUGGAUGAUUAUUGAAAACUGAAAUAUCUUUAAGACCAAAGCAAAUAUGAUUAAAUAUAUACGAAAAUAAAAACAGUCGUAAAUCAUCAGUCUAUUAUGACACGAUGAUUUAGAAGAAACAAAAAAAGUCUAUAAGACUUCUUUCUCUUGAGAUGUGAAACACAGCAAGAGCUAUAUUAAUUAGAGAAAACGUAAUUGAGUUAUAUGUAUGUGUUGUAUUUGUCCAAACAUUAACCAGCAGCUUGAAGCCUUCUUUUGUUUGUUGUUCCCUUUUCCAUUGCAUGCUUAGACAAGUAAUUAAAAACAAUUGAUGUAAACGAUCUAUAUCUAAAAACGUUGUUCAUGAAGAUUCACACUCAAAGAAGCCUAAAAGAUUUCCAAAACAUUCUCAAAACGAACAUCACAAGAGAAACAUGAUAUAGACAAAAUCACUUCAAAAUUCAAAAUUUCACGAUUGGAUACCAA